GGACACAUGGCUCAGUGGCAGAGUACACAUACCUUGCAUGCAUAAGGUCCAAAGAUUAAUCCUCUGUAUGUCCU